ACAGCGUCGGGUGAGGGGGGCUGUCUGGCCCAGCGCGCGCGCGCGCGCGCGCGCGCGGAGCAUCCACCUCCCCUCGCCCCGGGGCCCGCACGGGGGGAGCUGCCGGGAGGACCACGUGGACUGGACGCCCGGUGGCAGAGCAGCCACUUCGGACUCCGGUAACUCACUUUGUUUUGGCCAUUUCCCAACGGCGCCCCUAAAGUCGGUGCACGGGGAGGGGACACCUCCAGACCAGGACAAGGCGUGACCGCUAAAGGACCCCUCAAAAUUAUCACUAGAAUCCCCUUCCCGUGUGAAGACAUUAGCACCACUUCCGUCCACACCAGCUCAAGGCCUUAAGCUGAGGACGGUUAGGGCAGAGUUCACACUGGUAGUUCGUUUCUGGGAAGACCCCGCCUUUCUCCGCAGAUGAGGCCGAGGCCCAGGAGCCUUGGGACAGCAGGCAGAAAAGCUGGGGGGCGGGGGGAGGGGCGCCCAGCAGACUGGAAGGCUGUGGAGGGGCGUCCAGCAGACUGCAAGGCUGUGGAGCCCGCCGCAGCCAGGCUGUGUUUCCUCCUACCAAAGGCCUAGCUGGUUUCUGCUCCAGGAGAAGGAAACGUCACCGCGCCACCCCUGGCUCUUUUUGGAAACGGACCGGAGGAAAGGGCAUCACAUGUCCCGUGACAACACUGUCCGCACAGCACAAACGGGGACACACCAGUCAUCCAGGUCAAGACGAUUAGGCAGCUGUCGAGCGGAAACGCGUGACACUGAGACUCAGGUGACGCACGGAGCCCUUCCUCUGCUUUCCCCGGUCAGGAGCGAAAAGAGGAAUGAAUGUCAGAGCCAGAGCAAUUUCACAAGUUAUCAAUAAACAUUUGAAAAGGCACUCAACUCACUUUAGAGAAGAGAAUGAAAAGUGACACAACAAAGAUGUCGUCUUUCGCACAUCAGACUGGCUGAAAUUAUGAAGACUGAUAAUGUUCCCAAGUCGGCAAUGAAGUCUCUCAGAGGCACACCUCUUUCCUGCACAAAUGCUACAGCGCGAGCCGUUACAGGGGCAGCGCACAGCCCGGGAAGCAAGGGCAGCCCCGGAGACUACCCUCAGCAUCUCAGCGUCAGAUGCCAGAGCUCUGAACUGUGUCUGUGAGCGCCUGUGCCUCAUCUCCAUUUAUUCUGUGCUCCCCUUAGCAAGACGUGUCCUAAGGUAACUGCUCCUUUGAUUUACCCAUUUCGGCUUAUGAAAAAAACUCAUAGGAACACUCUACUUCCAGAUAGCAGGAAACUCAGACCUGUGAUUCAAGUUACACGUGACUCGAGAAAAGACUAACCUACUGUGUAAGGAUAGAUGAGUGGCUGUCUGGGCCUGGGGGUGCAGGGGAUGCCUCAGGAGGGGCACAAGGGAAAUUUUGCAUCGAUAGAAGUAUUCUGUAUCUUGAUUAUGGUGGUUGUCACGCAGGUGUAUAAAUUCUCAAAACUCCUUGAAAUAUACGCUUAAAUGAGUGUAUGAUAUUAUAUGUAAGUUAUACAUAUAUACCUCAAUAAACUUGAUUUGGGUGGGGAGUAGGAUUUUGGAUGAUUUAUAUCCUUCGAGAAUAAAUGUUUGGUUCACCGCACCCCUCUCCCACCUAGGGAAAAAAAUACCACACAAAACCUUGAUCAGCUGAGAUGCUGGAUGAGGGUACGCUUGCAACACGUAGUUGGAAAAGGAAGUCAUGAACAUUAUGUUCUUCUGACCAGUAACAGAGGUGGUGCGUGUUGCAGCCAUUCAUUUUUUCUUAUUUUUAUCUGUGUGUGUGUGUGCGUGUGUGUGUGUGUUUGUGUGUGUGUGUGCGUGUGUGUGUGUGUUUGUGUGUGUGUGUGUUGUGUGUGUGUUUGUGUGUGUGUGUGUGUGUUACCUAAUUUCUUUUGCCCCCCUCCUCCUUUUCCCUUAUUGUUUUCUGUAAGGGCUGUUGGUAGUGGGUAACGUUAUAAUUUAGUCGUUAGGUCACAGAAUCCUCAGGUGAGACUUAAAUAAAUUCGACAUGGACACCAAGAGUGUCGCCCAGAGAUGGGUGCCAUCUUGCUCUUGCUCUUUCUUCCCUUUGGGGCGAGAGGGUUAGGGCCUCUCUGUGGGAGAGAGAGCUGCAUCUUCUUAGGAGAAAGCAUGGCCUUCACUGUUGUGACAUACGAGGUCAACCGUGCUUAGAAGGGUGUUUAGACUGUGCCAGUUAUUAUUAAACUGCUGUCUCUCUGCUCCUCCUCCACCCUUCUAUACGUAUUCUGUUGUGUGACGCUGACGCUGGCUUCCUGUGACAGUCCACCAGCAGGGGGCUGGAGAGAAAGCACAGGGGAAGUCGGCUUGCUGACCCUCCUAUAGUGUCGCCCUAACAAUCGCCCGGGUGACCUCCGCUGCUUCCUCCUCCGGCCUUGCGACCUCCCAGGCACAGCCUCUCACAGCCCUCAGAGGCUCCACUCCCCCGCAGGCCCCUCCUCUGCUAGUCCCGACAUCUUCCUGCAUCCCUGAGUCCCAGGAGUAGCGGCCCUCCUGACGUUCUGGGUGCUUUUCAGUCCCAGAAUGACAGAACAAAUUCUCCAUAUUAAAUUCUCUGUUGAGUGAAAUAGAGAGAUAGAUAGUCUGCUGAAAUUUCUAGGGUGGUUUCUGUGUUUCGGACUGGAAUUUUGACUUGUAUAAAUGUUGACAGCUGGUGUUUAUCAAUCAAUUCUAUUGGAACCCAGGUAGUCUGAAAUCCAUAUGAAUCUGUAGAGAGGUUUUCAUACGAACUUCCUGGUGAUAGUUUAAAUGUGUAAUCUCUGACACCUUUUUCCCUCAUUUCUUUUAAUCAGCUUAAUUGAAAUUGAUCUUGAUACACCUUGGUUACAGGUUUCUGAGAUUCUUUUUUUCUCUCUUUUUUUGGCCGUGCCACGCAGCAUGCGGGAUCUCAGUUCCCCGACUAGGGGUCGAACCCGUGCCCCCUGCAAUGGAGGCGGGGAAUCUUAACCACCGGACUGCCAGGGAAGUCCCCUGAGAUUCUAAUUUAUCUUUGGAAAUUCCACUUGGGUAGCCUGAGACUCAGGUAUGAGAGGAAGGUCCGUGGUGCAGAAGAGGAAGCCGUUAACUUGAUGAAGUUAAAACUGCAUCCAGCCCAUGAAAACAUGUAGCUUCUAAUAAUAAUUAGAAAUCGAGUAUUAUUAAUUGGAAUGGGUUUGCACAGCCGAAGUUUCCUUAUUACAAAUCUUGCAUGUAUAACCAAGUGUUCAGCCGCUGAAAAUGGGCCAGAUGAUGGUUAAGGUAAAUUUGGGACACGUUUCAGAGGCUGAAUUCCUUGUGUAUUUCCAGUCAUUUCUAAGAUGAAACCAUCUCAAUGGAAGUUUCUCUUUUUUUAAUUAUUAUUUAUUUAUUUAUUGUUUCUUUUUGGCUGCAUUGGGUCUUCAUUGCUGCGCGCGGGCUCUAGGUGUGGGGGCUCAGUAGUUGUGGCGCAGGGGCUUAGUCGCUCCGCGGCAUGUGGGAUCUUCCCCGACCAGGGAUCCAACCCCUGUCGCCUGCAUUGGCAGGCGGAUUCUUAACCACUGCACCACCAGGGAAGCCCUGUUUGUAGACUUUUUAAUGAUGGCCAUUCUGCCUGGUGUGAGGUGGUACCUCACUGUAGUUUUGAUUUGCAUUUCUCUAAUAAUUAGUGAUGUUGAGCAUCUUUUCACGUGCCUACUGGCCAUCAAGAAAAUCUCUGAACUUCAUUUUGUCGUUUUAUUUUUCACACCAAUAUCAUAUUGCUAUUCUUAACGUUUUUCUUUGUAUUCUAGACAACUCAAAUAAAUAUGUUGAUUUCAUUUAGCAGGAAGAUUUCACCAUACAAGAAAAUAAGGUAUAAUUAUAGAAACAAAGAGUUUAAAGAGGAAUGCUGUUAUGUUAGAAUUGAACUGAAAAUAUCAGUAGGAACUCACACCUUGAAAAAAAAAAAGGUAUUUUCCAGCUCUGCUCGCUGAAACAGCCCAGGCUUAACAAUACCCAGUAUCUCAAAUCUGAUCUGAACCCCCAAUGCCCAAAUCUUGGUCUGUAAUGCCAUUUUCACUAAAAGGAACCAGCACUCCAUGGAGAAAUGGUUGAUGCAUGUUUGGUGCAGGAAGGGUACCAGGUUGGCUUGUGUGCCCAGAGGCAAGAAAGUGUUCAGAUACCAAUGGGACAACAUCGGUGGACCUAGCACUCAGCCUAGAGGGUCGUUAGCAACGAGAAGAUCCACUUGGGAUAUCUGGUCAAAUGCUCUGCUCUUAAAUGACCCCAAUUUACUUUUAAGACUUGGAUUAUUGAAAUAUUCCUUUUUUAAAUAUUUUAGUUUCAUUGGCGUGUAGUUGAUUUACAAUGUGUGUUAGUUUCAGGUGUUCAGCAAAGUGAUUCAGUUAUACAUAUACAUAUAUUCAUUCUUUUUUAGAUUCUUAUCUCAUAUAGGUUAUCUACAGAAUACUGAGUACAGUUCCCUGUGCUAUACAGUAGGUCUCUGUUGGUUAUCUAUUUUAUAUAUAGUAGUGUGUGUGUGUUCAUCCCAAGGUCCUGAUUUAUCCCUCCCCCUAAAAUAUUUCUUAAGAAGUAAGUGUAUAGGGACUUCCCUGGUGGCGCAGUGGUUGGGAAUCCGCCUGCCAAUGCAGGGGACACGGGUUCGAGCCCUGAUCCGGGAAGAUCCCACAUGCCACGGAGCAGCUAAGCCCGUGCACCACAACUGCUGAGCCUGUGCUCUGGAGCCUGUGAGCCACAACUGCUGAGCAGCCCCCGCUUGCCAUAACUAGAGAAAGCCCACACACAGCAACGAAGACCCAAUGCAGCCAAAAAUAAAUAAAUUAAAAAAAAAAAAGAAUAAUAGAGGGCUGAUUUUCUACAGGACCUAGAGCAAGUGAUAAGCCAUUUCACACCUUUCUGUGCAGUCAAGUGAGUUUAAUGUUCUCUGCAUCCUCCCAGCACUGCCCGUAGACCCUUGUGUGAUGAUGGAAAAGUUCUGCACAUGGGCCUCCGACACACACCUGUGGAACGCAGCUAAUGAGACUAAGGGACUAAACUUUAUAGUUGAUUUAAAUUGAGGGCUUCCCUGGUGGCGCCGUGCUUAAGAAUCCGCCUGCUGACGCAGGGGACACAGGUGCGAGCCCUGGUCCGGGAAGAUCCCACAUGCUGCGGAGCAACUAAGCCCAUGCGCCACAACUACUGAGCCUGAGCUCUAGAGCCCGCGAGCCCCAACAACUGAGCCUGUGUGCCAGAACUACUGAAGCCCACGCGCCUAGAGCCCGUGCUCUGCAAAAAGAGAAGCCACCACAAUGAGAAGCCCGUGCACUACAACGAAGACCCAACGCAGCCAAAAAUAAAACAAAUAAAACUUAUAUUGAAUUGAUUUAAACUUUAUUUUAAAUAGAUACCAGCAGCUAAUGGUUACCAUAUUAGACAGUGCAGCUUACAGACGUUUUUCCAUCUGCCAGGAAUGCUUUAUUUCUGGCUUACCCAUUGAUGAGACUCUUACAGUUGAAUGAAUGAAUGAACGAACAAAUGUUACUAUUAGACCCUGAAUAUAGCUGACACAGAGCAAUAAAAAUACUUAAUGCUGACAGUAAAAAGCACUGAAUUUCACUGUUUCAUGAAGCCCCAGCACCUAGAGCCCGUGCUCCACAAAAGAGAAGCCACCAAGACGAGAAGCCCGCGCACCGCAAGGAAGAGUGGCCCCGCUUGCUGCAACUAGAGAAAAGCCCGCGCACAGCAAUGGAGACCCAACGCAGCCAAAAAUGAAUAAAUAAAUAAAUUUAUUAAAAAGAAAAAGAUGAGAAAAAAAUUUCACUCUACAUUUUCAGGCUAAUUUGCUUUUAGCUUUUAGGGCAAAAAAAAAUGCCAUGAUAAUUUAAAAUAUUUAACAGGCAGUCGCUGCAUUUCACGGUAUUUUUCUGGGCAGAUGAGGUGAAAGGUUUUCACAGUGCCUAAUAAAUUACUUAUU